GAUGAACGCUAGCUACAGGCUUAACACAUGCAAGUCGAACGAGUGGCGGACGGGUGAGUAAUGUCUGGGAAACUGCCCGAUGGAGGGGGAUAACUACUGGAAACGGUAGCUAAUACCGCAUACCAUCAGAUGUGCCCAGAUGGGAUUAGCUGGUAGGUGGGGUAACGGCUCACCUAGGCGACGAUCCCUAGCUGGUAUGAGAGGAUGACCCGCCACACUGGAACGGAGACACGGUCCAGACUCCUACGGGAGGCAGCAGUGGGGAAUAUUGCACAAUGGGCGCAAGCCUGAUGCAGCCAUGCCGCGUGUGUGAAGAAGGCCUUCGGGUUGUAAAGCACUUUCAGCGGGGAGGCGUUACCCGCAGAAGAAGCACCGGCUAACUCCGUGCCAGCCGCCGCGGUAAUUC
rnacentral:rRNA from 1 species